CAGCCUGCUGCAUGGUUGAAGCACCUUGUGCUGACAAACACCAUUGCCUUUCUGUGACCCUCUGCCUUUAUGUCACCUCUCACAUUUCCAUUUUAGGCACCCUGGUUCCUUGUCCAUGCCCUGAUGGCACAUUUACUCCUCCGAACAAAACCGGCCUGCAGGACGAGAGGGAAUGCCUGGCCUGCUCGGCUGGUCACUACUGCAGGGGCGGGCGGCUGGAGGGGAAGUGUGCUGCUGGGUACUUCUGCCAGGCCAGGAGCUUUGAAUCAACUCCCCAAGGCCAUGACUUCCCAUGGAGCUCCCUGGCUGAGUGUCCCUGGGGGCAGGUGUGCGCAGGACUGUGCCCUGAAGGUUUCUAUUGCCAGGAGGGAGCCGAGGUGCCCACACCAUGCCCCGCCAACACUAUCCGAACUGUCCCAGGGGCCAGCCAAAGAGAAGACUGCCUGCCUUGCCCCCCAGGCCGCUGGUGUCAAGCAGGAGACCCAGUGAGCUACCUCUGCCCUUCUGGACACUACUGCACUGGGGGGAACGUCACUGGUCCCAGCAGCUUCAUGGUCCCUCAGCAGUGUCCUGAGCAUACCUACUACCCAGGCCUAGGAGCACAGAGCCUUGCAGACUGCCAGCCUUGCCCUCCUGGCUACCGCUGCCCCAUGCCAGGCCUUACCACCUUUGAAGACUACCCUUGCCCCCCUGGGCAUUGGUGCCCAGGGGAAGGAGACACUUUCCUUUGCCCACCUGGCACUUUCAGGACCCAGCCUGGUGCAGCCUCCUUGGACGAGUGUGACCCCUGCUCUCCUGGAUAUUAUUGCCCAGACCCAGCCCAGACAAAGAUGCCCAAUAUCCAAGGAACACCUUGUGAACCUGGCUAUGAAUGCCCACUUGGUUCAGUAAAUCCAAUCAUAUGCAGACCUGGCUUCUACUGUGGGCUUCAUACAGGGGUCCCUUCCAUGUGUCCUGGUGGGUAUUACUGUCCUGAAGGAUCCUCGAGGUACAAUGCCCCUGAGCAGCUGUGUGUGUUUCCCUAUUACUGCCCCCCUGGGAGCGUGCAUCCGCUUCCCUGCAAAGGAGGAUACAUGGCGUGCAACGUGACAGGCCCCAGGGACUCCUUUGAGACAUGCUGCAGGCUCUGUGAUGCUGGCACCUACCGUAGUGACUUCCUCACCACCCCAUCCUGCCAGCCCUGCCCAGCCGGCUUCACCUGCCCACCCGGCAGUUCAAAUUACCUCCAGCAGCCCUGCCCCAAAGGCUAUUACUGCCCUCCCAUGGCACAUGCCCCUGUGCCCUGCCCCCCCGGGACGCAUGGGAACAGCAGCCUUGCAAAGCACCCUGACGAAUGCCAUGCCUGUCCUGCUGGUUUCUUCAGCCACCUCCGUGCUCAGACAGGGUGUUUUCCCUGCGGGAGCUCUUCCUCCUCACAGCCAGGUGCUACCAGCUGUACCUGCCAUGGGCUGAACCGGGCAUUUCAGCAGUCAGAUGGCUCCUGUAUCUGCCAGACAGGGUAUGUUUACUAUGAUGAGAGAGGCAAGAAAAGUUCUGACAGCAACAGUGACCAGGACUGCCAGUCUCAGGUGGAGGAGCGCUGUGCUCCCGGAGAAGUCCGUCUGGCAUCCACGCGCCAGUGUGUUUCACCCAAACGGUAUGACUGCUCUCCUUUCUGUGGCCCAGUGGAUGGAGAACUCAACGCAGAGCUGGGCAUGUGUCACUGUGAACAAUACAUCUCUGCUGAAGAGCUGUGUGACCGGGAGUGCCUGCUGAGAGCCCCACAGAUCUCUCUGAGGGUUGGCAUCAAUCAAGAGCUGCUUCUGAGUGUGGAGGAGGGAGAGGACAGAGAAGUGACCGGCAUCCUGGGACCAGAUGAGCACGUGCAGAGGAGCCAGCGGGUGCAUUUUGUUCUGUUUAGCCCAGGCGGGGUGUUGGGUGUCAUGAUUUCCAGCACAGAAGACCUCAAUGAAUUCCUCACAGCCUCAGGAGAAUUUGGGCCAGCUACACCCUUGCAGAAAGGUCGGCAUAGCAAGACCAUCCCUCCCAAGGAUCCAAACCGCUUACCCCACAUCCCAAACCCCAUCGUGUGCAUGCAUGUGGGAGACACCAUCCUCUUCCAGCUCAGCAUCCAUCCCCAUGAUCGCGCUUCCAGCCACUACCCAGUCUAUCAGAAACAGCAUCUUUACAACAGCAACCCCAGCUGGGAUUUCGGUCCCUUCCGACGACUGGAGCACCUCAUUCGGGAGACCCACCUCAACAUCUCCAAGUUUGCUCACGUUUUCCCAGAUCCUGGGAGAUAUGUUUUCAGGGACAGCACCGUCCAGGACCGUACCUUGAUUGUGACUGUGAAUGAGGAGAACAUGGGCUGUGACCCUAAGGAUUCCUCCUUUCAGCCCUCGUCUCCGUACCAGCUGGCCAGGCAUGGGAUCCUGAAGCACCGGAAGCUAAAUCUAGCACCCAACUGGGCAGCUGUCACAGCAGUGCUCUUUGUCCUGGGCUUCUUGAUCCUCAUGCUGCUGACCCUGGCGAUUGUGCUGAGGCCCCCCAUCUCCAACCCCAGCCCCAUGAAGAGCUGGAAGCCACGAUGGAGGAGCCUGGGUGAGCCACACAUCCCUCCGGAGUAUGUUCUCAUUAAAGACAGCCUUCAGUUCUACGAAGCUCUUGGCCCCCACGGCUCUGGAGAAGGAGCUGAUACCGGAGAGAAAGCAAUUAUUUACGGUGCAGGAGAGCAGCCAGCCCUGAGAAACCUGGAGGAUUUCAGUGUCCGCACCCUGUACGAUAAGCUGGAGGACCAGAACCUGCACCUGGCAUCUCAGCUGACCAAACAC
ensembl:lncRNA